AGCGAACGCUGGCGGCAGGCUUAACACAUGCAAGUCGAGCGGACCUUUCGGGGUCAGCGGCGGACGGGUGAGUAACGCGUGGGAACGUGCCUUCCGGUUCGGAAUAACCCUGGGAAACUAGGGCUAAUACCGGAUACGCCCUUAUGGGGAAAGGUUUACUGCCGGAGGAUCGGCCCGCGGCUGAUUAGCUAGUUGGUGGGGUAACGGCCUACCAAGGCGACGAUCAGUAGCUGGUCUGAGAGGAUGAUCAGCCACACUGGGACUGAGACACGGCCCAGACGCCUACGGGAGGCAGCAGUGGGGACUAUUUGACAAUGGGCGCAAGCCUGAUCCAGCCAUGCCGCGUGAGUGAUGAAGGCCUUAGGGUUGUAAAGCUCUUUUAUCCGGGACGAUAAUGACGGUACCGUAGGAAUAAGCCCCGGCUAACUUCGUG
rnacentral:rRNA from 1 species